UUGAUGGUGGCUCAGUGGUAGAGCAUUAGACUGCAGAUCGAGAGGCCCCGAGUUCGAAACCCGGCUGUUAAG